rnacentral:lncRNA from 1 species
UGGGGUCAUGGGUUUAUGACUACAAGUCUCCAACCAAGGUACAAAUCCUGUUGUGUAUGUGUUUAGAUAUGCGUGAAAUUAAAUGGUCAUAUAUGCGUAGAGGGUCGGUGUAGAGACCGAAAGUUAUACUUCGUUUAUCUAAAAUUCACCAAAAUUCGAGUUCAGGCAACUCUAGUUGAUGCAGAGACAGGAAGUUCUACUUUUUUCGUCUAAAAAUUCACCAAAUUUUAGUUCAGGUGGGCGCGUGCUAGGCAGCACAUGCACCAACCAAGUAAACGCCACAUUCCAAAGCAUCUACAUCUAUAGGUAGUCACAUGUCAAAUAUUUGUAUGUGUUUGCAAUGUUAAGAG